GAAAAAACAAAGACACGGUUCAUUUCCUGAACGCAUCAGUACUGCUCAAGCUGUGAGGAUAAUUCAUUGGGAUAAGAUCUCAGAGCUCGGGGCAGGAUGCCGUCAACGUGCUCGUUUGUUAUUUAAGGGAAGUCUGGCCGAACACGAAACGCACACGACGAGCCUCAUUUAUCAGCCGUGUGUUAGAGAUGAGAACAUGGAGCCUGGUGAUCACUGGAUCCCUGAUGAUGUCGCUCAAUGGCUUAAUCACAUUGGAAUCCACCAGCACCAGCCGUCUCUCAACAUGCUGUAUGGUAGGAACUCAC
ensembl:lncRNA